AUGAUGUGGUUAAUUCGAUGCAAACGCGUAAAACCUUACCACCUUUGACAUGUACGGAAUCCUUUAGAGAUAGAGGAGUGCUCGAAAGAGAGCCGUAACACAGGUGCUGCAUGGCUGUCGUCAGCUCGUGUCGUGAGAUGUUGGGUUAAGUCCCGCAACGAGCGCAACCCUUGUCAUUAGUUGCUACAUUCAGUUGGGCACUCUAAUGAGACUGCCGGUGACAAACCGGAGGAAGGUGGGGAUGACGUCAAGUCCUCAUGGCCCUUAUAGGUGGGGCUACACACGUCAUACAAUGGAUGGUACAAAGGGUCGCCAACCCGCGAGGGGGAGCCAAUCCCAUAAAGCCAUUCGUAGUCCGGAUCGCAGUCUGCAACUCGACUGCGUGAAGUCGGAAUCGCUAGUAAUCGUGGAUCAGAAUGUCACGGUGAAUACGUUCCCGGGUCUU
rnacentral:rRNA from 1 species